UAUGGAGUUCAGGUCACUCUCUGUAAUACUCUUGCUGACUGUCCUCAUCCACAGUGGACAAACUCAAGCUUCACCCAGAGCUACACUAACUGUAAAACCAGAGAGUCCUGUGUUCAGUGGAGAGUCAGUCACUCUGAAGUGUGAGAUUAACACUCAUGAUGGAUGGACAUAUCAGUGGUAUAAACAGAAUAAACAGAGUAGAUGGGCUGCAGUGUCUCAGUCUGUGUAUUACACUGUAAACAAAGACACUCUCACCAUCAGAGAAGAUGCUGUGUUUAAUGGAGAUCAGUAUCAGUGUAGAGGAGAGAGACGUAACAG